rnacentral:misc_RNA from 1 species
GAAAUGCGAUAAGUAGUGUGAAUUGCAGAAUUCAGUGAAUCAUCGAAUCUUUGAACGCACAUUGCGCCCCUUGGUAUUCCAUGGGGCAUGCCUGUUCGAGCGUCAUUUGUACCCUCAAGCUCUGCUUGGUGUUGGGUGUUUGUCCCGUCUCCGCGCGUGGACUCGCCCCAAAGUGAUUGGCAGCCGGCGUACUGGUCCCGGAGCGCAGCACAUGUCGCGCAAACGAGUGCCUUGGUACGGCGGCGUCCAUAGGCCCCUCUCUCACGCUCUUGACCUCGGAUCAGGUAGGGAUACCCGCUGAACUUAAGC